CGCUACGGACUUAAAAUCCGUUGGCUUUAUUGACCGUGAGGGUUCAAGUCCCUCUACCCCC
rnacentral:tRNA from 1 species